GUGGGGAGCAACCAGGAUUAGAUACCCUGGUAGUCACGCCGUAAACGAUGUCGACUUGGAGGUUGUGCCCUUGAGGCGUGGCUUCCGGAGCUAACGCGUUAAGUCGACCGCCUGGGGAGUACGGCCGCAAGGUUAAAACUCAAAUGAAUUGACGGGGGCCGCACAAGCGGUGGAGCAUGUGGUUUAAUUCGAUGCAACGCGAAGAACCUUACCUACUCUUGACAUCCAGAGAACUUUCCAGAGAUGGAUUGGUGCCUUCGGGAACUCUGAGACAGGUGCUGCAUGGCUGUCGUCAGCUCGUGUUGUGAAAUGUUGGGUUAAGUCCCGCAACGAGCGCAACCCUUAUCCUUUGUUGCCAGCGGUUAGGCCGGGAACUCAAAGGAGACUGCCAGUGAUAAACUGGAGGAAGGUGGGGAUGACGUCAAGUCAUCAUGGCCCUUACGAGUAGGGCUACACACGUGCUACAAUGGCGCAUACAAAGAGAAGCGACCUCGCGAGAGCAAGCGGACCUCAUAAAGUGCGUCGUAGUCCGGAUUGGAGUCUGCAACUCGACUCCAUGAAGUCGGAAUCGCUAGUAAUCGUAGAUCAGAAUGCUACGGUGAAUACGUUCCCGGGCCUUGUACACACCGCCCGUCACACCAUGGGAGUGGGUUGCAAAAGAAGUAGGUAGCUUAACCUUCGGGAGGGCGCUUACCACUUUGUGAUUCAUGACUGGG
rnacentral:rRNA from 1 species